rnacentral:rRNA from 1 species
AACAAACGCUGGCGGCGUGCCUAAUACAUGCAAGUCGAACGGGGAAAGCUUUCGGGUGAGUACUAGUGGCGCACGGGCGAGUAACGCGUGGAUAAUCUGCCUUAGAGUGGGGGAUAACUAGUCGAAAGAUUAGCUAAUACCGCAUAAGACCACAAGAACUGCGGUUCAAGAGGUCAAAGGUUUUUCGCUCUAAGAUGAGUCCGCGUAAGAUUAGCUAGUUGGCGAGGUAACGGCUCACCAAGGCAACGAUCUUUAACUGGUCUGAGAGGAUGAUCAGUCACACUGGAACUGAGACACGGUCCAGACUCCUACGGGAGGCAGCAGUAGGGAAUAUUGCACAACGGAGGAAACUCUGAUGCAGCGACGCCGCGUGAGUGAUGAAGGCCUUCGGGUCGUAAAGCUCUGUCGCAGGGGAAUAACACAAUGAAUGUACCCUGUAAGAAAGGAUCGGCUAACUUCGUGCCAGCCGCCGCCGUAACAC